UCGGAUAUGGUGUAAUGGCUAACAUUGCCGCCUCUCAUUAGUAGACUAUGAUCCAUACUCGCGGCAGCUCGGGGUUCGAUUCCCCGUAUCCGAG